UGGGAUAUCACAUGACUGAAUGGCAAUUGC
rnacentral:piRNA from 1 species